rnacentral:rRNA from 1 species
UACAGAGAGUGCGAGCGUUAAUCGGAAUUACUGGGCGUAAAGCGUGCGCAGACGGUUGCGUAAGUCCGCUCUGAAAGCCCGGGGCUCAACCCCGGGAGGCGGGUGGAUACUGGUCAGCUCGAGUCCGGAAGAGGAGUGUGGAAUUCCUGGUGUAGCGGUGAAAUGCGCAGAUAUCAGGAGGAACACCAGCGGCGAAGGCGGCGCUCUGGGCCGGAACUGACGCUGAGGAGCGAAAGCGUGGGUAGCAAACAGG